CUAAAAGCAUGAACAAACUAGAGUCCACAUGGAUGAUGCUAUGCGACUAGCCAUGUUUAGGAAAGUAAACACAGCUGUCCAAUGAGGGUACAGGAUAGGGAUCACUCAGUAGCCUAAGCAUAAUAAGGAGGUUGACAAAAACAGGCACUAAAAUAAUAGACUGUAUCAAGUGCUGUGUGCCUUUGAGCUAGCCCUGCGUUGUAAUAUGAGUUUGUGUAUAAGUUUGCUUACAUUUUGGUUCCCCCCUGGAGAAAAAUGCACCAGCCGCCACUGCAUUACAUAAUAAGAUGAUUGACAUCGCUUCAUGCUGUAAUGACAGCUCUUAGAAGAACAUUCUAGAAUUCAAGAUUCCAGAGCAGUGUCUCGUGCGCAAAAGAAAUAGGUAGCGCGUGAGGCCAAGAAUGUGUAAAAGUAAUCCGUUCGGCCCGAAACAUCUGUCAGCCAGGAUGUUUGCUUAUGUGAAAUACACGGACGGAUUUAAGGCUAUUGUAGCUACCUAUAACAAACAUCCAAAACUUCAACUUAAAAACAUAUCAAGCGGACAUCCUCUAUCCCAUUCUUUGGGAAGAAAACAUAUUUCAACAGCCAGGUUCUGCUUGUGAAAGGUACGAAUAAUUAGGCUACCUUAACAUUAAUAAUUAAUAUGCGAGUAGCCAACGGCUUAUUCUAACCGUUAGACUCUAACGGCUAGAGUAUGCAGACUUAUAAGCCGUAUAUAUAUAUUUAUAUAUAUAUUAUAUGUUAUAUAUAUAUAGCCUAUAUAUAUAUAUAUACGUUACUAGUACGUUAAGAUGGCUUACUCUAACGGUUAGAAUAAGCCGUUGGCUUACUUUAACGUUAGAAUAAGCCGCUUACUUUAACGGCAUACUCGUUACGUUGACGUAAACUACCGAAAUUAAAGUAAGGUAAAAUCAUUACCAUGGACAUUAAACAUUAACGUUAGCUUCACUUACACUUACCUUUUGACAGAAACCCAAGAGAUUGAGGACUCAACAUCAAAUCCUCCAAAACGAAUCAGAGUUCCAAGGAUCCAAGAAGAUUUUGUUGAUUUUGAUCAUUGUGAAGGGGAAUCCACAGAAAUGGAUGCUCUAAAAAAGAAAUCGGUAUGUUUUUCUUAUUUUUAAGGAAAAUGUUCUGAAAAAUUCAUCUUCUGCUUCUGCUUCUUCCUCUUCUUCUUCUUCCUGGUGCAUGCUGGGAGAUUUUCGGAGGGUGAAAGAAAGAGAAGACUGGUUGUGGACUUGAAGGGAACGACUUCCUGGCCUUCCUGACAUCCAGGAAAAAGAGGCAGUAAAGAUCUACUGGAAACAGUGGAGAGGGAGAAGAUGAUAUGCAGCAAAAGGCCCAGCCGGAUGGUUGCUGCUCCGUGUGGAACGUGUUCUACAGUAUCAGAAAGGAUCAUGCCAGCCCACAUCAAACACCUGAUCAAGAACUUGUGAAUCUUCAGGCAGAAAAGAUGAAAACACCUGUUCAAAGUUCCAGUUUCCUGUACAUCAAACGAUGCCUGUCUGGGACUCUGUUCCACAUGUCUUCAGUCAGUCCUGGACCCUAUGACUAGGACACUAGUUCUACCAAGGCUUAAUAGAGAUAAUACAGCUGCACAAUUACAACAGGAACUAAUCUUUAGACGGUUAAUACAGAAG